GGUUGUGGCUCAGUGGUAGAAUGCUCACCUAGGAUGCGUGAGGCACUGGGUUAGAUCCUCAGCACCA
rnacentral:tRNA from 1 species